GACGAACGCUGGCGGCGUGCUUAACACAUGCAAGUCGAACGCUGAAGCUCAGCUUGCCGGGUGGAUGAGUGGCGAACGGGUGAGUAACACGUGAGUAACCUGCCCUCUUCUUUGGGAUAACGCCCGGAAACGGGUGCUAAUACUGGAUAUUCACUGAUUCUCGCAUGGGGGUUGGUGGAAAGGUUUUUUCUGGUGGGGGAUGGGCUCGCGGCCUAUCAGCUUGUUGGUGGGGUGAUGGCCUACCAAGGCUUUGACGGGUAGCCGGCCUGAGAGGGUGACCGGUCACAUUGGGACUGAGAUACGGCCCAGACUCCUACGGGAGGCAGCAGUGGGGAAUAUUGCACAAUGGGCGAAAGCCUGAUGCAGCGACGCCGCGUGAGGGAUGGAGGCCUUCGGGUUGUAAACCUCUUUCGCUCAUGGUCAAGCCGCAGCUUUGGGUUGUGGUGAGGGUAGUGGGUAAAGAAGCGCCGGCUAACUACGUG
rnacentral:rRNA from 1 species